rnacentral:rRNA from 1 species
GUAAGACUAAUACCCAAUGACGUCUCUAGAAGACAUCUGAAAGGGAUUAAAGAUUUAUCGGUUAUGGAUGGGCAUGCGGCGCAUUAGCUAGUUGGCGGGGUAACGGCCCACCAAGGCGACGAUGCGUAGGGGUUCUGAGAGGAAGGUCCCCCACAUUGGUACUGAGACACGGACCAAACUCCUACGGGAGGCAGCAGUGAGGAAUAUUGGUCAAUGGGCGCGAGCCUGAACCAGCCAAGUCGCGUGAGGGAAGACGGUCCUAUGGAUUGUAAACCUCUUUUAUCAGGGAGCAAAGGCAGUCACGGGUGACUGAAAGGAGAGUACCUGAAGAAAAAGCAUCGGCUAACUCCGUG